UUUUUUUUUGUUGUUGUUGCCGUAACUAUCGUUGUUGUCAUUGUUGUCGUUCUUGUUGUUGUUAUCAAUGUCGACAUUGUUCUCGUCAUUGUCGUUGUUGUCGUUGUUCUCGUCGUCAUCGUUGUUCUUGUUGUUGUUGUUGUUGUCUUUGUCAUCGUCGUCGUCGUGUUCAUUGUUAUUGUUGUUGUUGUUGGUGGUGGUGGUUUUGUUGUCCUUGUCGUUGCUAUUGAUGUUGUCGCUAUGUAACGCCCC
rnacentral:lncRNA from 1 species